rnacentral:misc_RNA from 1 species
GGAAGUAAAAGACGUAACAAGGUUUCCGUAGGUGAACCUGCGGAAGGAUCAUUAAUGAGUUGUCAUGGGGUUCGAUGCUGGCAGCCAGUUUUUGGAUGCAUGUGCUUGCCCUAACAAUCAUCUUCUUCCAAACACCUGUGCACAUUUUUGAGGGAGUCUUGAGUUGGUUGCCGCUCUUGGGUGAUUUUCUCACAUUCCCUUAAAUCAUUAUACGCUAUUAACAAUGUUGAACGUGCUCUGUGCCGCAAGGCCAUUGAUAUAAUACAACUUUUAACAACGGAUCUCUUGGCUCUC